UGGGGAAUCUUGCGCAAUGGGCGAAAGCCUGACGCAGCCAUGCCGCGUGAAUGAUGAAGGUCUUAGGAUUGUAAAAUUCUUUCACCGGGGACGAUAAUGACGGUACCCGGAGAAGAAGCCCCGGCUAACUUCGUGCCAGCAGCCGCGGUAAUACGAAGGGUGCUAGCGUUGUUCGGAAUCACUGGGCGUAAAGCGCGCGUAGGCGGCGAUAUAAGUCAGAGGUGAAAGCCUGGAGCUCAACUCCAGAACUGCCUUUGAAACUAUAUUGCUAGAGUGUCGGAGGGGAUAGCGGAAUUGCUAAUGUAGAGGUGAAAUUCGUAGAUAUUAGCAGGAACACCGGUGGCGAAGGCGGCUAUCUGGACGACAACUGACGCUGAGGCGCGAAAGCGUGGGGAUCAAACAGGAUUAGAUACCCAUGUAGUCCCUGAGCGGGCUGGCAAGGCGCAU
rnacentral:rRNA from 1 species